ACUUAAUGGUGAUGGAAUUUGCGUAAAAGGUCCCUAAAGCGCUCCUAAGUCUCAAAAAAUUAUUCCCCAUCUAUCUGUGAGAACCUGGAAAUUGCCUUUCUCAACU